CCUACGGGUGGCUACAGUGGGGAAUAUUGGACAAUGGGGGCAACCCUGAUCCAGCCAUGCCGCGUGUGUGAAGAAGGCCCUCGGGUUGUAAAGCACUUUCAGUGAGGAAGAACGCCUGGUGGUUAAUACCCAUCAGGAAAGACAUCACUCACAGAAGAAGCACCGGCUAACUCCGUGCCAGCAGCCGCGGUAAUACGGAGGGUGCGAGCGUUAAUCGGAAUUACUGGGCGUAAAGCGCGCGUAGGUGGCUUGAUAAGCCGGUUGUGAAAGCCCCGGGCUCAACCUGGGAACGGCAUCCGGAACUGUCAAGCUAGAGUGCAGGAGAGGAAGGUAGAAUUCCCGGUGUAGCGGUGAAAUGCGUAGAGAUCGGGAGGAAUACCAGUGGCGAAGGCGGCCUUCUGGACUGACACUGACACUGAGGUGCGAAAGCGUGGGUAGCAAACAGGAUUAGAUACCCGUGUAGUC
rnacentral:rRNA from 1 species